UACGUAGGGAGCAAGCGUUGUCCGGAAUCAUUGGGCGUAAAGCGCGCGUAGGUGGCUUCGUAAGUCCGUUGUGAAAGUCAAAGGCUCAACCUUUGAAAGCCGAUGGAUACUGCGGAGCUAGAGUACGGAAGAGGCGAGUGGAAUUCCUGGUGUAGCGGUGGAAUGCGCAGAUAUCAGGAGGAACACCGGUGGCGAAGGCGGGUCUCUGGGCCGAUACUGACGCUGAGGAGCGAAAGUGUGGGGAGCGAACAGG
rnacentral:rRNA from 1 species